rnacentral:misc_RNA from 1 species
UCAAAGAGAGAGCAAAGAAUGGCCAAAGAAAGAUACGAAUUUGGUUCUUGGAAACUCUGAGGUAUAGAAAAGAAUGAUAAGUUUUGGAGUUAUGCAUGGAGGUGUGAAACCUUGAAGUAAUCUCCACAUUGUAGUUAUCAAUUAGGGGGGUACUAAAACAAUAUUCCUAGCUGUCCAAAUAGGUUGGCUUUUGAUAGAUUCAUUGGGGAAUUCUGUUUGGG